rnacentral:misc_RNA from 1 species
AGAUGUUCAUGCUGCCUAAUCAAAUGUUGUCAUCAUUUUCCAAUAUCAAUUAGCCCAGGCAUCAUCUCUAGUUACACAACACCUAUUUUUUUUUCUUCUGCGAAAAGCAUCUCCCAAUUUCCUAGUUACAAAUAUGGAGGGACGCAUAAAACAUUUCCCUCUUUAGCUCAAAUUAUUUACACACUAGUUAUCUCGAUAAAGUCCAAGGUUAAGAAUCCUCUAACUACAAAGUAGACCAAACACUAGGAAUUUUGGAUUUUUGCAUCGGAAGAGUCUCCAAUUCUAACUUCCCAAGAUUAGAGGUAGAGCCUUCACCAUUGUUUUCUUCUUCACUUUCAAGUUGCCUCAGAGUCCUCUUGGCGUAGACUGUGAAAGCCACUAUGGUGACAAUUGCUAUAAUGAAAGAAAUAACAUUAUAGACAAUCUCAACUGUAGUCAGAUGAUGGUUCCCAUAUUGCACAUCCGCAAAUGUCCUAAUUAGGCGACCACUGUAGAUGUAAAUGAAGGAUUCGGGAGCCAUUCCUGCAACAGAUCCCCAAAAAUAAGGCCAGAACCUCAUCUUUGUCACCACCACUGCAUAAUUGAAGACUGUGUAUGGAAAUGGCGAAAUCCUAAAUAUCGCAACCACACGGAAUUGAUGAAACCAACUCCCUUCUCCCACCAGUCUAAUCAUAGCUGCCAUGUGAGGCCAUCUCUUCAACCAUUGAUGAAUUCUAUCUCUGAAAAACAAGCCAACGAAAUAUGGCAGGAUCAUCCCAACUGUUGUUCCAGCCAUUAUAAUAACAAAUCCAAGACCGUAUCCAAAGAUCAUUCCAGCGAGCCACAUUGAUGGUCCAGAAGGAAUAAAAAAUACCGGAAAUAGUGCCAAAGAAGCUACAAGUACGAGGGCAAGAACUGGACGGCCAAAUGCAGUGGCUUCCCAAUGUAGUGUUGGAACUAGAAUCUUCUCGAAAAAAAAGGGCACUCCCCAUUUUAUGGAAACUAGUAGAAUUAUCAGAGAGAAAAUACACCAUAUAAUGGCCUUGAUCCACCAUACAA